rnacentral:rRNA from 1 species
AUAUUUGAUCCUGCCAGCAGUCAUAUGCUUGUCUUAAAGACUAAGCCAUGCAUGUCUAAGUAUAAGCACUUGUACUGUAAAACUGCGAAUGGCUCAUUAAAUCAGUUAUAAUUUAUUUGAUGGUAAAUACCACUUGGAUAACCGUGGUAAAACUAGAGCUAAUACAUGCGUAAAAACCUAACUAGAAAUGGAAAGGUUCCAUUUAUUAGAUACAACCCCAAUAAAGUAAAGGGGUUAAACUUUUUAUUUUUUUAUUGGUGAUUCAUAGUAAUAAGACUAAUCGUAUAAUCAAGUAUUGACGAUAGUUCAUUCAAAUAUGGGCCCUAUCAACUUUCGAUGGUAGUAUAGAGGACUACCAUGGUGGUAACGGGUAACGGAGAAUCAAGGUUUGAUUCCAGAGAAGGAGCCUGAGAAACGGCUACUACUUCCAAGGAAGGCAGCAGGCGCGCAAAUUACCCAAUCCCAAAACGGGGAGGUAGUGACAAUAAAUAACAACAUUGGAUUCUAUAAAAAAAUCUAAUAAUUAAAAUGAGUACAAUCUAAACCCCUUAACGAAUAUCAAUUGGAGGGCAAGUCUGGUGCCAGCAGGCGGUAAUUCCAGCUCCAAUAGCAUAUAUUAAAGUUGUUGCAGUUAAAAAGCUCGUAGUUGGAUUUAAAAUAGAGAGAAAAAGUAUUAUAUGAAAGUAUAAUUAUUUUUUAUCUUUAUUUCAAUAUACUAAUAAUUCAUUAUUAUUUUUAAUUAAAUAGUAAUUAUUAAUUCUUUACGGGAUUAAUUUAUUUUAAGAAUGUAUUUAUUAAAAUGUGGAUAUUUAUACGAAGCAAUUUGUAUAAAUAUACUGUUUAAUAAAUCUUUUUAAAAUAGAAUAAUAGUACAUUUACUUUGAGUAAAUUAGAGUGUUCAAAGCAAACUUACAAAUUGUAAUGAAUACUAUUAGCAUGGGAUAAUGGAACAAGAUAUUAAUCUUUUAUUUUUUCAUUGGUUUCUAAGAUUAAUUUAAUGAUUAAAAGGGAUAGUUGGGGGCAUUAGUAUUUAAUUGUCAGAGGUGAAAUUCUUGGAUUUAUGAAAGACUAACUUCUGCGAAAGCAUUUGUCAAAGAUGUUUUCAUUAAUCAAGAACGAAAGUUAGGGGAUCGAAGACGAUCAGAUACCGUCGUAGUCUUAACUAAAAACUAUGCCGACCAAGGAUUGAAAGUUGAUAAUAAUUUAAAAAAUUAAAUCUUUUCAGAACUUUAUAAGAAAUUAAAAGUUUUUGGGUUCUGGGGGGAGUAUGGUCGCAAGGCUGAAACUUAAAGGAAUUGACGGAAGGGCACCACCAGGAGUGGAGCCUGCGGCUUAAUUUGACUCAACACGGGAAAACUUACCAGGUCCAGACACAGUUAGGAUUGACAGAUUGAGAGCUCUUUGAUUCUGUGGGUGGUGGUGCAUGGCCGUUCUUAGUUGGUGGAGUGAGCUGUCUGGUUAAUUCCGAUAACGAACGAGACCUCAGUUUAUUAAUUAAAUAAAAAAACAUAAGCGAUAUAAGGGUU